AAGACACGAACCACAUAUUUACCUCUACAUUGUGACAGGAGGUAUCCCUUUAGAAUUAGUGUAAAAAAAAAUUUAAAGCAAAAGUGAAACACAUGAUGUGAUACUGGACUUGAAGGAACCUAUGAGUUACUGCAAAUGCGACUGUCCUAGCCUUCUCUCAUAGAGUCACUCCACAGUCAACAGGGAAACGUGAGCAAAACAGACGUGCAAAGCAAAACAGUUUCAGCUGUGAAGUGGCGGGCAGAUUUAUCCUUCCACUGUAGUUGUGAAGCACCAAACAUGCGUUGAAACUGGCAACUGACAAGAAAGUUGCAAGUAGUCACAGAUGGGGUCCCUGUUUUCAAAGCAACCGUUUCAAAGGGGAUUGACCUGGUUAGCUCAAACCAGACCAAUGAGCAAACAGAGAAAUGGCAACUGAGUGGGAGGAGGCUUGUUUUACAAGGAUGUAGGUAUAACCAGAGCCUGUUCACCUCCAGUGAAUGCCAUUGUAUCGAAAUUGGCUGCUUUCUACCUCGAGGAGCUCGGGAAUUUGUCCUUGAUGAAUGGGAGUGAAGUCGGUUAAA